ACCAUCCAAGAUGAUGAAGUGGUAGCUUACAUUCUGAAUGGCCUUGAUAUUGAUUACAACCAUUUUGUCUCGUCCAUCCUCAGCAGGGCAGAUCCCAUCUCCAUCGACGAUCUGUACUCCCAGAUGAUGUCCUAUGACU